GAUGAACGCUGGCGGCGUGCCUAAUACAUGCAAGUCGAGCGAACAGACGAGGAGCUUGCUCCUCUGACGUUAGCGUCGGACGGGUGAGUAAAACGUGGAUAACCUACCUAUAAGACUGGGAUAACUUCGGGAAACCGGAGCUAAUACCGGAUAAUAUAUUGAACCGCAUGGUUCAAUAGUUAAAGACGGUUUUGCUGUCACUUAUAGAUGGAUCCGCUCCGCAUUAGCUAGUUGGUAAGGUAACGGCUUACCAAGGCAACGAUGCGUAGCCGACCUGAGAGGGUGAUCGGCCACACUGGAACUGAGACACGGUCCAGACUCCUACGGGAGGCAGCAGUAGGGAAUCUUCCGCAAUGGGCGAAAGCUUGACGGAGCAACGCCGCGUGAGUGAUGAAGGUCUUCGGAUCGUAAAACUCUGUUAUUAGGGAAGAACAAAUGUGUAAGUAACUAUACACGUCUUGACGGUACCUAAUCAGAAAGCCACGGCUAACUACGUG
rnacentral:rRNA from 1 species